CCUACGGGUGGCAGCAGUGGGGAAUAUUGCACAAUGGGGGAAACCCUGAUGCAGCAACGCCGCGUGAACGAAGAAGUUAUUCGUAAUGUAAAGUUCUUUUAACAGGGAAGACAGUGAAAUUUGAAGGUACCUGAAGAAUAAGCUCCGGCUAACUACGUCACAGCAGCCGCGGUAAUACGUAGGGAUCGAGCGUUAUCGGGAAUUAUUGGGCGUAAAGGGUGCGUAGAUGGCAUAGUAAGUCUUUGGUAAAAAUGCUGGGCUCAAGCCAGUAGGGCAAAAGAUACUGCAAAGCUAGAGUAUGACAGAGGCAAGUGGAACUACAUGUGUAGCGGUAAAAUGCGUAAAUAUAUGUAAGAACACCAGUGGCGAAGGCGGCUUGCUGGGUCGAUACUGACAUUGAGGCACGAAAGCGUGGGGAGCAAACAGGAUUAGAUACCCCUGUAGUC
rnacentral:rRNA from 1 species